rnacentral:lncRNA from 1 species
AAAUCUCUCAGUUAUGAAUGCCUCUCUGUGUUGUUGUUCCAAGCAUUUGAAUAAUAAAAUAAUAAUAAUAACAAAAGCGAGCCAUCAGUCAAGAAACAAGCGACGUUCCUUAUGAGUUUGAAUCACUGAAUCAUUCACUAGAAUGAAUCAUUCAAAAUACACUGAUUCAAUUUACCGAUUCAAAACGGUCAACGGUUGGCUAGCUUUUCUUCGCUUGGAUUAUUUUUGUUGGUGCAGCUAAAUUAGGCAAAGUACUGGCGAUAUUGUGUCUAAAAUCUGGCCAGAAAAGUCUUCCCAGAAAUGAUCAAUCAUUUGUCUAAAAGCUGGCCUGACAACAUACCCGUUGCCAUAAACCAAGAAAAUCUACAACAAAUGUAACGUUACCUCUGCAGUACACUGGAGAUUUGGCAUGAUGAGGAAUGAGAUCUGUCUACAGUAGGAGCAGAAGGGACGUUUGGACCUACUGCCAGCAGACUGUAACAGACAGAUGGGUUUCCACACAAACAACAGAAAACAUCAAGAGCAGUCAGGCUGGCACACACAGAAGAAGAAUCAGCAAAGGGGAGAAAGUCUGGAUAAUGAGGCACUGCUAG